rnacentral:rRNA from 1 species
AACGAACGCUGGCGGCAGGCUUAACACAUGCAAGUCGAACGCCCCGCAAGGGGAGUGGCAGACGGGUGAGUAACGCGUGGGAAUCUACCUAGUUCUACGGAACAACAGAGGGAAACUUCUGCUAAUACCGUAUACGCCCUAAGGGGGAAAGAUUUAUCGGAAUUAGAUGAGCCCGCGUAAGAUUAGCUAGUUGGUGGGGUAGUGGCCUACCAAGGCGACGAUCUUUAGCUGGUCUGAGAGGAUGAUCAGCCACACUGGGACUGAGACACGGCCCAGACUCCUACGGGAGGCAGCAGUGGGGAAUAUUGGACAAUGGGCGCAAGCCUGAUCCAGCCAUGCCGCGUGAGUGAUGAAGGCCUUAGGGUUGUAAAGCUCUUUCAGUGGGGACGAUAAUGACGGUACCCACAGAAGAAGCCCCGGCUAACUUCGUGCCAGCCGCCGCGGUAAAAC